rnacentral:rRNA from 1 species
GACGAACGCUGGCGGCGUGCUUAACACAUGCAAGUCGAACGGAAAGGCCCUGCUUUUGUGGGGUGCUCGAGUGGCGAACGGGUGAGUAACAUGUGAGUAACCUGCCCUUGACUUUGGGAUAACUUCAGGAAACUGGGGCUAAUACCGGAUCGGAGCUCCUGCUGCAAGGUGGGGGUUGGAAAGUUUCGGCGGUUGGGGAUGGACUCGCGGCUUAUCAGCUUGUUGGUGGGGUAGUGGCUUACCAAGGCUUUGACGGGUAGCCGGCCUGAGAGGGUGACCGGCCACAUGGGGACUGAGAGACGGCCCAGAGUCCUACGGUGGACAGCAGUGGCGAAUAUUGCACAAUGGGCGGAAGCCUGAGGCAGCAACGCCGCGUUCGUGAUGACGGCCUGCGGGUUGUAAACCGCUUUCGCCUGUGACGAAGCGUGAGUGACGGUAAUGGGUAAAGAAGCACCGGCUAACUACGUG